rnacentral:rRNA from 1 species
AUUGAACGCUGGCGGCAUGCCUUACACAUGCAAGUCGAACGGCAGCGCGGGAGCAAUCCUGGCGGCGAGUGGCGAACGGGUGAGUAAUAUAUCGGAACGUGCCCAGUAGUGGGGGAUAGCCCGGCGAAAGCCGGAUUAAUACCGCAUGAGACCUGAGGGUGAAAGCGGGGGAGUCGCAAGACCUCGCGCUAUUGGAGCGGCCGAUAUCAGAUUAGCUAGUUGGUGGGGUAAAGGCCUACCAAGGCAACGAUCUGUAGUUGGUCUGAGAGGACGACCAGCCACACUGGGACUGAGACACGGCCCAGACUCCUACGGGAGGCAGCAGUGGGGAAUUUUGGACAAUGGGCGCAAGCCUGAUCCAGCAAUGCCGCGUGCAGGAAGAAGGCCUCGGUU